rnacentral:rRNA from 1 species
UACGAAGGGGGCUAGCGUUGCUCGGAAUCACUGGGCGUAAAGCGCACGUAGGCGGGUCUUUAAGUCAGGGGUGAAAUCCUGGAGCUCAAACUCCAGAACUGCCUUUGAUACUGAAGAUCUUGAGUUCGGGAGAGGUGAGUGGAACUGCGAGUGUAGAGGUGAAAUUCGUAGAUAUUCGCAAGAACACCAGUGGCGAAGGCG